rnacentral:snRNA from 1 species
GUCUCUCUUCGGAGACAUCCGAUAAAAUUGGAACGAUACAAAGAAGAUUAGCAUGGCCCCUGCGCAAGGAUGACACACACAAAUCGAGAAAUGGUCCAUUUACCU